rnacentral:rRNA from 1 species
UAAAGACUUAAAUAUAAACCGGUUAAUAAAAUCUACAGAUUAAAAUCCAAAGAAUUUGGCGGUAUCUUAAAUACUCAGGGGAACCUGUACCUUUAUUUGAUAAUCCACACAAAUCAUUCUUCAUCUCGAAUUUCAGCCUGUGUACUGCUGUCGCCAGUAAACCUCUAAAAGAUAGUUUACAAUAAUAUUUUUAAUAUACACGUCAAGUCAAAGUGCAGCCUAUGAUGCAGAGCGCUAUGGGUUUACAAUUUCUAUACAAUAACAAACUAUUAUAAUAAAAAUAAUACGAAGAUGGACUUGACAGUAAUAUUUAUACAACACUAAUAUAAACAAGAAUCUAAGAUAUGCACACAUCGCCCGUCACUCUCGCCUAAAU